rnacentral:rRNA from 1 species
UACGAAGGGGGGCUAGCGUUUGUUUCGGAAUCACUGGGCGUAAAGCGCACGUAGGCGGAUCUUUAAGUCAGGGGUGAAAUCCCGAGGCUCAACCUCGGAACUGCCUUUUGAUACUGGGGAUCGUCGAGUCCGGGAGAGGUGAGUGGAACUGCGAGUGUAGAGGUGAAUUCGUAGAUAUUCGCAAGAACACCAGUGGCGAAGGCGGCUCACUGGCCCGGAACUGACGCUGAGGUGCGAAAGCGUGGG